GAUGAACGCUGGCGGCGUGCCUAAUACAUGCAAGUCGAGCGGACGGACGCGAAGCUUGCUUCUUUGAUGUUAGCGGAGGACGGGUGAGUAACACGUGGAUAAUCUACCUAUAAGUCGGGGAUAAUUACGGGAAACCGGAGCUAAUACCGGAUAAUAUUUUGAACCACAUGGUUCAUAAGUGAAAUACGGCCUUGCUGUCUGUUAUAGAUGCAUACGCGCUGCAUUAGCUAGUUGGUAAGGUAACGGCUUAUCACGGCAACGAUGCAUAUCCGACCUGAGAGGGUGAUCGGCCACACUGGAGCGUAGACGCGGUCCAGACUCCUACGGUAGGCCGCAGUAGGCAACCGUCCGCAGUAGGCGAAAGCCUGGCGGAGCAGCGCCACGUGAGUGGUGACGGUCUUCGGAUCGUAAAGCUCUGUUAUUAGGUGUGAACAUAUGUGUCAGUAGCUGUGCCCAUCUUGACGGUACCUAGUCAGAAAGCCCCGGCUAACUACGUG
rnacentral:rRNA from 1 species